GGAAUCAUCGAGAGGUGUUUUAUAUCGAUAAAUAUGAACAUUAACUUUGUUUAGUACGUCUUAUUUAUCCGCUUUGCGACAUUUUUUAUAUAUACUACGCAUGCGUAAAAGUCAGUUCUACUAAAUUCUUUACAAUUUAUUCAUUUUACAAGGCAACGACUACGGAAGAAAACGUACAUUUUAAUUUUGAAAAAAAGACCCUCAGAAUCGGGUGUUUUGACGAUGCCAUUUAUCGAUUACACCAAGAUGCCUCAGUUCAGGUUUCGAACUCGGAAGGAUUUUACUCCAGCCACUCCUUAAAACGACAGAUACUCGCUUAAACGACCCAGGACUAGGUGGACAAAUGAUCAUUAAUCAUCGAACGGAAUUACAGAUUACGUUGGAAUUUCGUGAGCUAAAUUAUGUGCUAAAUGCGGAAAAUGGAUAUUUCAAUAAACAAAAAGCCCAAGGUUGUGUGUAAGAAAACACAUGCUUCUCAUUCAUCUUUUGUGUCCGUUGGAUUCUUUAUAUGUUCCGUGGAUCAAUCAUUGUGAAAUGAAUCUAUUAUAUAGCAAUGAACGGUGAAUUUAGGAAAUUUAUGAUCGGAGCCACGGAUGCGUUUACAAUAAUGUAUCUGAGACAUUCAAUUCACUGGAUUAUUUGUGUCAUUUUCAAUAGGAUUUUUUGUGAAAUAUUAACAUUUAACGCUACUAAUUUCCUACAUUGUUCAUAUUAAAUUGUUUAAUUUGUCA